rnacentral:rRNA from 1 species
UACGUAGGGCGCGAGCGUUGUCCGGAAUUAUUGGGCGUAAAGAGCUCGUAGGCGGCCUGUUGCGUCCGCUGUGAAAUCCCGGGCUUAACCCCGGGCGUGCAGUGGAUACGGGCUGGCUGGAGGCAGGCAGGGAGAGGCGGAAUUCCUGGUGUAGCGGUGAAAUGCGCAGAUAUCAGGAGGAACACCGGUGGCGAAGGCGGGUCUCUGGCCGAUACUGACGCUGAGGAGCGAAAGCGUGGGGAGCAAACAGG